rnacentral:rRNA from 1 species
UACGGGGGGGGCAAGCGUUGUUCGGAAUUACUGGGCGUAAAGGCUCGUAGGCGGCCAACUAAGUCGGAUGUGAAAUCCCCGGGCUCAACCUGGGAACUGCAUCUGUGACUGCAUCGCUGGAGUGCGGCAGAGGGGAUGGAAUUCCGCGUGUAGCAGUGAAAUGCGUAGAUAUGCGGAGGAACACCGAUGGCGAAGGCAAUCCCCUGGGCCUGCACUGACGCUCAUGCACGAAAGCGUGGGGAGCAAACAGG